AAAAAAAAAGUGAUUUUUCAGCAUGUUGUAAAAACGUGCCAUAUGAUGAAAUAAUUUAAAGGAGGCCGUGAAAAACACUCCAGAAAGGUUUUCUUUGAAAAAAAAUCAUCAUGAAUUUUGGCGCAAAAAAAACGCCAUAGUAUACUAUGUCGAAAAAAAAUGCGAUUUUUCAACAUGUUGUAAAAACGUGCCAUAUGAUGAAAUAAUGUAAAGGAGGCCGUGAAAAACACUCCAGAAAGGUUUUCUUUGAAAAAAAAAACAUGAUUUUUGGCGCAAAAAAAAGGCCAUAGUAUGCUAUGUCGAAAAAUGUCAUUUUUCAACACUAAAUCUUAUUGAAAAACUCUAAGGUACAUUAAAAAAAAAAGUCCAGUAGAUGUCACUCUGCUUUGAAAUAGCAUGCAGAGCAAGUUAGUCUGCUCACAGGAAGUUAGCAUGAGCAAAAUCACUCUUCACAUGAGGCGUCUGUUUUUUGUGAUUUUCAAAGGUAAAGUAAUACUUUUGACACAUUAUGGUGCCUAAGGAGUUGCUGAACAAAAAUGUGUCAUUUGAAAUGUAAAAAAAAAGAUUUAAAAGGGUAAAAUAAUUUUUCUCAACCGUUUGGUAGAGGUCAGUAUUUUAAAAAUCGCUGGGUCACUUCAUAAUAAAACCAUUGAUUGUUGUUAUUAGUGCCCCAAAGAGAUAAGAAAGAUAAAGAAAUAUUUUUUCAUUGCCUUUUUCUUGGUGAGGAUGUUUAAGGGUUAACUUAACAUCUGUAAACAAAACAAAAACGUAUCAACAAAGUUUUCUGUUAGAGUUUGUGUUCUUGUAAGUUUAACUCCAAGAUUUUAAAUACUUUCAUUUACUGCAAAUGAAUAUCUACUCCAAAUGUCUCACUAAUAAUCAUUAUCAGCCUUAAAAACCCACAAAACACCCCUCUAUACUUGACCACACUUAGUACAGUCUGGUUCCCCCUUCUAUAAAUCUGCUUGGAAUCGUCCACUUCCUGUUUGUCAAAGUGGCCUUCUACCUGGACAGGUUUUGUUGGAGCUCAUGCAACAAACAUUUUGGGUAACUGCACUUUAAUAUGGAUGGAUGACACUGAAUUAGAGUCUGUUUUAAUGAGACUGAGGACUAAGAUGUGUAGCUCUGUCAUUAAGUAUGAAAUUAUUUCUCAGAAUUCACAGAGAAAAGUCUGAAAUGUUUGCUAGGUUAGCAUCCCACAUGUUCUUUGGCUCAGCUAAAGCUAACUCUCUCCAACUUCUGGAUCUCUUGAGUUGCUUGUUGUUAAAAUAUGUUGCUAAAGGUGCUGAAGCUCAGAAAGUCUGAGAUGUUUGUUCAAAAUAAGCUCAUUCUCAAGUCUUAUCUGAACUGUCCUCUUUUGUUUGAACUUUCCCUAAACUUAGGAGUUAAUGACAGAGCAGCACAUCCAGACUCAGUCUCAUUUAUGUAGAGAUUAAACUUCAGUGUCAUUCAUUGAUGUUAAAGUGCAGUUUUUCAAAUGUUUGUUGCACAUGCUCCCGACCAAACCAGUUCAGGUGGAAGACGAUGUGAAGAGAAAGCUCCAGAGGAUGAAUAUCACACAUUUACGUUGGAAAUAAAUGUCCUUUAAUUAGACAUUGUCAUGCAAAAGUUGGAUUUCCCUUUAAUGAUGUUCAAAUCUUUGUUGAGUGUUUUGAUGAUGUUGGUUUCUAAAUGUUUUCUGACACUCGGCCCCAAAGAUUAAAACCUUCUAUGGCUCACAAGCUGCAACAAUUCACACAUUCUCAACUAUCUUUCUGACUAAACUAAGAUAAAAAAGUGAAAAACUGCCUGAUUCCUGCAUCAUGAAUGUAAAUCUUUUUGGGUUUUUAUGACAGUAAACUGAAUAUAUUUGGGUUGUGGACAAAACAAAACGUUUGUCAUCUUUGGGAAACACUGAUCAAUGUUUUCCACCAUUUUUUGACAUUUUAUAAACCAAAACAAGAAAUGAAUUACUGGAGAAAACAACAGAUUAAUCGACAAAGAAAAUGUAUUUUCCAACAUAUAAGGCUGAAUUACUCCAACAUUACAAGAUACAUACAGUUUUAAAACAUGACAAAGUAAAAGAGUUUUAUUUUCUGUCUGUCCUUUAUUUUCUUGACUAAUCCAAUUUAUUAUUUGGUUUUUAAGAGACUAAUGGACAAUUAAAAUAACCUUCUCCACUAAAACUAAUAAACAUGAGGUCAAAUAGAAGGAACAGUUUUAAAUACUGCAGUCCCACGACAACAAGAAUAAAGCUUCUCAACAAAAACUAAAUCUGCUGGUGGAUUCCAUUAAAGUCCUAAUAAAUGAUUAUAAAGUGUGAUACUAAAGGUUUGUGGUGCUAAAAAUCUCCAAGUAAAGAUAUCAAGUUGAACAUCUGGAUGGAGGCUGAUAAAAGUUGACCUCCCUUCAUUUCUCUGGAGCCGACUCCAUGGAUUUUAUGGAUGGUGGUUAAAGACCUGCUCUUCUAGUGGUCUUCCUUCUAGUCGCUGUAAAAAGUCAGUCCAUCCUGGCCGACUUCAACACCUCUUCAUGACAACUUGUUCUGCCUCAGACCUGGUGGAAACUCCAGAAACUGGGGAAAACCCGUGGAGACUCGAAGAACUCGUGGAGACUCGAAGAACUCGUGGGGCGGGGGAAGGUGUGGUGGGUGGUGGGGGGAGGUGGGGGAGUAGAGGGGAGAGGCCGCCACCCACCUCCCCGCCUACUCUCCGCCCUGACUCCACCCAGACUCCGCCUUGGCUCCACCCAUGUGGUGACUUCAGAAACUACGAUGCCAAAGGGACGACGAAUUUAUUUCUUUUUAUCUGAUCUGUAGCUCAGUGAGUUAAGGAUUUGCCUAUGGAGCUGCAGGUCGCUGGUUCAAGACCAGACACUUCUUAAAUUUUCUCAAAAUCCUGACAAAGACAAAGAAAGAAAAUUGCCCGUGGCGGGUCUCGAACCUGCGACCUACCACUUGGUAGUCCUCUUCUUAUCCCCCUGAGCUAUCCGCUCAGAUACUAAUUCUUCUUUUUUUUGCGCAUUUAUCAUCUAUUUUUCAGCGUUUUCGAAUCUUUUUUUAACUCGAGUCUCGUCUCGACCGUUUUUCUCAGGAGGUUGGACUUCAGCCUUUGUGCUGGAGGGUGGAACCCUCAGUUCCAAGACUUUCCAAAGCCUCCAGACCUCCCGAGUCCUCAGGACCUGAGCUUUCACACAGUCUGAGGGCUGAAAUUUUCUAAGUCCCACAGUAGUUCUCUGUUAGAUUUAACUUUCAGACAGUCCAAGGACUGAUAUCUUCUCAGUUCCUGAGUAGUUCUCUGUUAGUUUGAACCUUCAGACAGUCUGAAGGCUGAAGUUUUAAAAGUUUCUCAGUACUUCUCUGUUAGUUUGAACCUUUCCACAGUCCGAGGACUGAAAACCUUAAAGUUCUUGAGCAGUUCUCUGUUAGUUUGAACCUUUAGACAGUCUGAGGGCUGAAAUUUUAAAAGUUUCUCAGUACUUCUCUGUUAGUUUGAACUUUCUAGUUAACAGAAGCCUUAAAACUUGUGACCAUGAGUCUUGAUUUCACAUUUAGACCAUCGAUCUGAGUUCUUCUCAGACCUUCACCUGUGGGUUUUUUAGAAAUCCUGAAAAAACUUUGAUUCUCUUCACUGAACAGUAAAGUUUGUGGAGAUCAGAAGGUAACAUUAGUUUGAUCCAUGCCUUCAACUAAUAGUAGACUUCUGGAAAGCAGUUUUCUGAAAUGAGUUCUUAGUAAAUCUGUCCACAAUCAAACCAAGAACACAGAAAGAGGAAAUGUUUGAAGAAACAACUUGUUUUCAUUUCAGACUAGAAAACGCUUUAAGACGGUUAUCUGUUUUUGAUUUUUUUGAUCAUUUUAUUGACUCCUGUGUAAUUUGAUCUUCUAAAGUCUAACUGGUGUCUUUUCAAAUGUUUUGUCUUUAGUUUGAUUCUUCUUAAAUGUUUAGUUUUGCUCUUUUCUCACCUUUUAUUCUUUUCUAAUGUCUGAUUUGAUUUCCAAAUGUUUUGUCUUUUUAAUGUUUAAUUGUUUUUUCAAAUGUUUUAUCGGCUUGUUCAAAAAUUUUCCUUUUCUUUCCCAAUGUUUAAUUUUUCGAUUAAACCUUUAAGGUUUUUCUUUUUAAAUGUUUACCACCUUUUAAUUUUUAAUUUUCUUUUUAAAUGCUUCAUUGUAUUUUCUGUUUAAUUCCUAUUUAAAGUUUUAUUGUCUGUAAGAUUUAAUUUUGUAAUUAAACAUUUAAUUUUUUAAUUAGAUGUUUUGUCUUUUUAAAGGUUUAAUAAUCUAAUUAAAUGUUUAUUUUUUUAAAUGUUUAAUAUUCUUGUUUAAUUGUAUUUUUUAAAUAUUUGUCUAAAAUAUUUCCUCUUUAAUGUUUAAUAUUUUUGUUUAUAAAAUUUUGUUUCAUUUCAUAAUUACGUUUUGUAUCUUCUAUUUAAUUAUCUAAAUAUUUUGUC
ensembl:lncRNA